rnacentral:lncRNA from 1 species
ACGCCCCUGUUUUAUGGUUUACUUUUCAGAGCCUUCGGCACCGGCGGAGGCACGGGAUCGCGGCAAGGGGAUCGCUUAGCUAGCUAGCGAGGAGCGGUACUUUGCCUAGGUGGUUUACUCUUUCUUUUUGUAGUUGAGAGAGUGUGAGGUUUUUGUAUCCAUGUAUAGAGACCUCCUAUGUAUCUACCUAUAGCAUUUGUAUCUGGGAUUUCCUUGUAUCACUUUAUAUUUUAUUUAGUGGAUUUACAGUUUUAUCCUUACCCCUUGUUGUAGCAUUUAGACAUUUAUUAUGCUCUGAUACUCCUAGAUGUCCUUUAUUAUUAUGCUUUUAUUAUUGUUGUUUUUAGACGCCUUAUAUGUUUUAGACAUAUGGCGGGUCUGGGCACGUGCCGGGCGGGCUUCCGCUGGGUCCCGAGGCGUGACAUGGUCCCAACCUCAGGAGAAGCCCCUAGGGCGUGGGGGUACAAAUAAGAGGUCUACAAUUGCAAAAACACCCCUGCAGUUCAAACUGCACGAAAUCAGCCUCCUUGUACCGAUACACGGGCCCUUGUACCGGUACAUGCCCCACGAAAAUCACAACCCGAGGCUCGGGUUGGCGGGGUAACCGGCCCUGUACCGGUACAAGCACCCUGUACCAGUACAACCACCAGCCUUGUACCGGUACAGCCAUCAACCUUGUACCGGUACAAGCUCUGCUGAAAGCUACCCGAGAGCUGAUCAAAAAUCCGAUCUUUCGGGUUUUUGUGCUAGGCUUUUAAUCUCACUUCUCGGGAUGCGAGCCAUAGGUCGGAACACUAUCAACGACCCACCAGAAAGUCUGGAAUUGCUCAACACACAACCAACCACUCGGACCUCGCAAUUUGCAAAGGUCCAGUGUGUUACAUUCUCGGCCUUGAUUCUCGUAUCGGUGGUAUCCCGACUGCAAGUCUAUCUUGGAAUACACACACGAUACCUGAAGAUGAUCAAACAAGUCGUCGAUCCUCGGCAACGGAUACUUAUUCUUGAUCGUGACCUUAUUGAGUUCACGAUAAUCCACGCAAAGGCGAAGUGAUCCGUCCUUCUUCUUGACGAACAAAACUGGUGCUCCCCAAGGCGAGACACUUGGUCGAAUGAAGCCUUUAUCGAACAAAUCCUGCAGCUGUGCCCUCAGCUCCCUAAGCUCUGUCGGUGCCAUCCUAUAGGGUGCCUUUGAGAUUGGGGCAGCCUCUGGAACAAGAUCUACCACGAACUCAAUCUCCCUAUCAGGAGGCAUACCCGGAAGCUUAGCUGGAAACAUAUCAGGAAACUCUCGCACCACCGGGAUAUCCUCAAUCCUGGGAGUGUCAUCCUCGCCCCUCAGUACAACACUAGCCAAAUAGGCUAUACAACCUCUACUAAUCAGCUGCCUAGCUCGAGACGAGCUGAUCGUCAUCGCAAAUAGCGAACUCCGGCAUCCACUAAAUACCACCUCAGUCUGCCCCGGUUCUCUAAAGGUAACCGUGCGAUUCUUGCAAUCAAUCGUGGCAUAAUAUUUAGUCAACCAAUCCAUUCCCAAGACCACGUCAAAAUUCCCCAGCUUGCGCAAAACUAGCAAAUCUAUCGGCAUGAUCCAAUCUCCUACCCGAAUAGGGCAACUGGGGCUAUACUCUCUAAUAUCCAAAAUGUGGUCGGGUACUACAGCAUGUCCCGGAUGUAGUAAGAAAACCAAUGGGAUGCCAUGCAACUCGGCAAACAGCCGAUCUAUAAAUGAAUGUGAUGCACCGGUAUCAAAUAAAGCACGAACUCUAAUGCCAUCAAGUAAAAUGAUAACUGCAACCACAUCCUCGGCUGCUGCCGCCUCCUCGGUCUCAGCAGCGUACAUGCGCCCACUCGGGGCCUGUCGGGAUCCCUCGCUCUUGCGCUGGACGGGUGGCCGCCCAGGCUGGUACUAUGCCGAUGGAGUCCCCUGGCUGGCGGCUGGUAGAGCCGGUGCCGAUGCAGUCGACGGUGCUGGUGAAGAACCUCUCGGGCACUCAGUACGGACGUGGCAUUCCUGGCCACACUGGAAUCACCUGCCCGCCCGCUGUUGACACUGCGGCGGGUAAUGAGGACCACCGCUGAUCACACACAGGGAAGGCCGGUGAUGAUCGGAUUCUCCUCGAUGCGCUGCUGAGCCGCGUCCACGCUGCUGGCUCCUCGGAUGCUUCGGCGGCAUCCUAGAGUGCGUCUGGCUCGCACCCUCAGCCGCAGGCCUCUUGGCCUUACCCCUGUCCCUAGCCUCUCGCUGCUCCUGGACAUCCGCCGCGCCGCUCUCCACAAUGAGCGCGCGAUCCACCACCUCCCGGUAGGUUUAGAGGUUAGAGGAUUGCACGAACCAAAAGAUGGACGGCCUCAAUCCUCGCUCGAAAAUGCGGGCCUUGUCCUCGUCGUCCCGCACGACGAAAGGCACGCAAUGCAAAAGCCAAGAAAACUCACGCUCGUACUCGGCCACAGUCCGGUUGCCCUGGCGCAAGUUGGGCAGAUCCUGCUUUAUCUUCCGCUUGACGCUGGUCGUGAAGUAAUAGGCCAAAAGAAGCUCCUUGAACCUCGUCCAAGUGAUAGCUACCAAGUCAGUGCUGGGGUGCUCCUGAAAGUCCAACCACCAGCGGUAGGCCUCGCCGUCCAAGUGGUGAGUGGCGAGCCAAACUCGAUCCCUCUCUCCGCGAAGGUGUCGCGGAAGAGCUUCUCCAUAUGCGUCAACCACUUCUCCACGAUCCAGUGGUCGACCUUCUUGCCGUCGAAGACUCGGGGACUGCACCUCCUGAACUCAUUGAGGCGCUCCAUCAGUCUGUCUCGCUCCGCCCCCUCAACCAAGGUAGGGAAUGCAGCUCCAACCGGGGGCCUCUGCACAAGUGGUGCCGCCAAAACCUCCUCCCGGGGCGCGGCCGCAGGCGCGGCACGCGAAGAACUGGGCGCGGGGGACGGCGCUCUCUGUGCGACGUCCACAACGGGUGCUGGCGGUGUAGGGGCCUACGUCUCCCUAGAAGCUGCUACCUACUGCAGGAGUAAGUCCUCCAGGCGCUUCAUCUGCGCCUACUGUCGGUGCGCCGCCUCAGUCUGCUGUCGGGCCGCCUCCGCCUGCUGAGUGACUAAAUCGGUGAGGGCCGCAAACUGGCCCCUCAACUCAUGGAUCUCGCCAGAUCCAGAGGUAGCGGAGGUCUCGACCUCCUCAAAGUUCGCCACAUUGUCCACCCCGGCAGAUUAGGAGCGAGUAAUCGGCAUCAUCCCUACAACAUCAUAAAAGCGCAAGUUAGAAAGACACGCUAUCGUAUCCCCGCUCAAAAGAUAAAACCCAAUCAUGCGAAAGUAAAGAAGUGUUCUGCGCUACUAACUCCCGAUGUUACGUUGUCGGCCGCCAACGUAACCCUUCGUGAAGUUAGAAGCCAUACCCUUCGAUCGAACUCUAACUUUUUAGAGUUAUCCAAGAUACCCAAUCAUAAUACUUUCGCUUACAGUCAAAUAGACCUCGUCUCUUACGAGCCUAUUUUCUAUAGUCCAACCGGCCUAAGGUUUGCUAGGUCCCCUAAGACUCAACCCUAGGCUCUGAUACCAAAUUAAUCUGUCACGCCCCGGGACCCACCGGAAGCCCGCCCGGCACGUGCCAAGACCCGCCAUACGUCUAAAACAUAUAAGGCGUCUAAAAAUAAUGAUGAAAUAAGCAAUAAUAACAGACAUCUAGGAGUAUCAAAGCAUGCUAUAAGACUAAGUCCUAUAAUGGAGAAAGGAACAUGAAGUUGAAAUCCACUAGUAAAAAACAUAAAGUAGUACAAAGGAAUCCCAAAAACAAGUACUGAAUACAUAGGUGGUCUCUAUACAUGGAUACAAAAUCUCUCACUCUCUCAACUACAAAAAGAAAGAGUAAACCACCUAGGCAAAGAACUGCUCCUCGCUAGCUAGCUAUGCGAUUCCCUUGCCACGAUUCCGUGCCUCUACCGGUGCCGAAGGCUCUGAAAGAAACCACGAAAAAGAGGGCGUGAGAACUAUUAAAAAUAGUUCCCAGUGGACAAGUACUGACUUUAGUGAACUGUGCCACAAGGCCCAAAAGCUACAAAGAAGAGGUCAGUGACAAAAAUGUAGUAAAGUAAUAGAUAAGUAAGAUGUAACUCACUAUAGCAUAAUGUCUCUACUUGGCAUGAUUUGCAUAAGUAAUAAGGCAACUAUAACAUGAAUGCACAUGGAUGUGUAUGACAUGAAUAAGCAUAAGUAUGCAACCAAUACGAUGUCCUCAAGAAAAUAGUAAAGAUGUCAUUGUUUACUAUUCUAGUCAAUAUACUAAGUCAUCAUCUGUCCACAUGUCGUAGUGAAUACUCAAAGUCAAUUCUGGAGAGACCCACCCGAAGGGUGUCUAUGGCCCUGAGACCUACCCAUAGGCUGUCUAGCCGAUGCCGAGCCUAAUGGCCCCGUGGUAGUCAUCAUCCCCACCCUAGGAAUGAGCCUCGCCCAUGGCAAUCCACUUCGGCGCCCAAUCCCGCACGGCAAAUAUAAAUCGCGAUGACUAUCUCCGGAGCGCCGGCUUGUAGGGAGCGACCCUCACAAGCAUGUGCGAAUGAGCACAAUGGCAAGUAGUCAUACGUCCUGUCACAAGUACCCAGUCCUCAUGUCUAAAACAUGGAAUGUAUCGAUUGUCCCAAUGGCCUAUCUCUAUGCCAUCAUGUCUCUAACAUGGAAUAUAUAUAGCAGAUGUACGAUGGCCUAACAUUAUGUCUCUAUAUUGCAGUUUCAUAGUUUUUUAGUUUCAAGUGCCCCUUGAUGACACUUUAUGCCACUAAGUCAAAUUUCCAAUUUUACAAAUGUGAGCUAAUUUAGCAUACUCGACGAGAAUCCCAUUCGUCCACACGAACACUCCUCACAUGCAUGAAAAUAACCCUGAUUGCUUUACUAUAUAGAGUGAAAUUUAAUUUACACAUAAGGCAUGCAUUUUAAGUGUUCUAAAAUUCACAUAAAUUUCAUUUAGCAUAGAAAUGCAUUUAAAAAUACUUUACAACAAGUAUAGAGAGUAUAGGGCCAUUUAGUCCCGUUUCCACGAAGUCAAACCCACCAAAAUCGACUUCUUCGUUUCGCCGAACGAAGUGGUCCACGAGCUUCCUAGUACCCUAGAAGCAUCAAAAGUAGGGUUACCCAAACGAAACGAAGAGCCUAUAGCUCAAUCAUUAACUAUCUAGCAAAAAGGGGUCCAACUCACCUCAAGAGCAACAAUCUCUUCUCAAGCCCCAAAUGAGAGCUAGAACCCUCCCAAUCCAACCUAGAGGAAGGUUCUAAUCCAAGGGAUUGAGCCUCAAAAGCCCUAAAUCAAAAACGCCCAAAAACAACCCUAAGUUUACAAUCUAGGGUUUCAUCUCAAAGAAAACCUAGAAUCCAAAGUCUAGAUGGAGAGAAAGGGCUACUAACCUCUAAGAAGCUUCAAUCCAAGCUCAAACUUCUCAAACUUCAAGGAUCUUCCCCAAAACGAGCUCCAAGUCCAAGCUCCAAGCCUUUACCAAGGUGGAAAUGGCACCAAAGAGCAAAAGAGAGGAUCAAGGGUUUUUGGUGCCUUGAUAUCUAGGGUUUCAUCUAGAAAAACCUAGGAAAACAAGUAUUAAAUGGGGAUUACAAGCUACCAACCUCAAGAGAAGCCCCAAUCCAAGCUCAAAACCAAGUAGGGUUGAGGUUUGAUCCUUCACAAAGCUCCAACCGCAAGUUCAAAGCCACCAAAGGUGAGAAAUGAGGAAGAAGAUGAUGCUCCAAGGCCUCUAAGCAAGCUCUUCUCCUCUCCUUCUCCUUCUUCUCCUUCCCUUUCUCUCUCUAGAAGUGUAGGAAGAGUGUGAGGGAGAGAAAAAUGAGAGUGAGAGGGGAGGAGAGGCUGUGUAGCACACUGGACCUCUGCAAAUCACUACUCGACGCAUGAUUUGGAGUUGGCGACCGUAGUGUUCGCAUUGAAGCUGUGGCGCCACUAUCUUUAUGGCGAGCGGUGUGAAGUAUACACGGAUCACAAGAGCUUAAAGUACCUGUUUACUCAGAAGGAGUUGAACUUGAGGCAAUGCAGAUGGUUGGAGCUGCUCAAGGAUUAUGAUCUGACGAUUCUUUACCACCCGGGCAAGGCUAACGUGGUGGCGGAUGCGCUAAGUAGGAAAUCGAUGGAAAACUUAGCGAUGCAUGUUGUGACUCAACCGCAGUUGAUCGAGCAGAUGAAGCGGUUGGAGUUGGAGAUAGUGACUUCUGACACGCCUAUGAGGUUGAUGACAUUGGUGGUACAACCUACCUUGUUGGACAGAAUCAAAGAAAAGCAAGCUUCCGAUGUGGAGUUGCAAAAGAUUAGAGGAAAAAUGGUUGAUGGUUGCACCGGCGAUUUCCUUGUGGACGACCGAGGGUUGAUGCGCUUUCGAGGACGACUAUGUGUUCCGGCGGAUUCGGGAAUUAAAGAAGAUAUUCUUCAAGAAGCGCACCGGGCGCCCUAUGCUAUACAUCCGGGUGGCACCAAAAUGUAUAAGGACUUAAAGUUGCUCUAUUGGUGGCCUGGGAUGAAAAAGGAUGUUGGCGAGUUUGUCGCUAGAUGCUUAACUUGCCAACAAGUAAAGGCUGAGCACCGAGUUCCCGCGGGAAAACUUCAGAGUUUGCCUAUUCCCGUGUGGAAGUGGGAGAAGAUCACCAUGGACUUUGUGACAGGAUUGCCACGCUCACAGGCGGGGCAUGACGCUAUUUGGGUGAUCGUGGAUAGGUUGACGAAGUCGGCGCACUUCAUACCUAUUCAUACGACUUGGACCGGAGAGAAGCUCGCACAAGUGUACCUUGAUGAGAUUGUGCGACUUCAUGGAGUGCCUACAUCGAUUGUAUCUGAUCGCGACACGCGCUUCGUGUCUCACUUUUGGAGGAGUCUACAGGACGCCUUAGGCACCCGAUUGGAUUUCAGUACAGCAUUCCACCCGCAGAGUGAUGGACAGUCGGAGCGCACUAUUCAGACCUUAGAGGAUAUGCUCCGGGCAUGUGUGAUAGACUUCCAGGGAGGAUGGUCGCAGCAUCUACCUAUGGCGGAGUUUGCUUAUAACAACAGUUAUCAAGCAAGCAUCAAGAUGGCGCCCUUCGAAGCACUUUAUGGACGGAAGUGUAGAUCGCCACUUCAUUGGAGUGAAGUCGGCGAGAGAUUGGCUUUAGGCCCUGAUGUGCUCCAGGAAGCUGAGGACAAGGUUCGAAUUGCUCGGGAGCGACUUUUGACGGCGCAGAGUAGACAGAGGAGCUACGCCGAUCGACGACGGCGAGACUUGGAGUUCCAAGUUGGAGACCAUGUUUUCUUGAAGGUCUCGCCAACUAGAGGAAUCAAGAGAUUCGGGAUUCGGGAAAAGUUGAGCCCCCGUUUCAUUGGACCGUAUGAGAUCUUGGAGCGUGUAGGUCCGGUGGCGUAUCGACUUGCUCUACCACCGAACCUAUCCGGCGUGCACAACAUCUUUCAUGUAUCGGUCCUUCGGAGGUACAUCCAUGAUCCAGCUCAUGUUUUGGAAGCUGUACCAGUGGAGCUGCGCGAGGAUCUGAGCUUCGAGGAGCAACCCGUGAAGAUUCUAGCUAGCGAAGUGAAGAAGCUGCGGAAUCGGGAUAUUCCGUAUGUAAAGGUCCUUUGGAGCAAUCACGGGGAGCGAGAGGCCACGUGGGAGCUAGAGAGUGCGCUGCAGGAGCGCUAUUCCCAUCUUUUUCAGAUGGAGUCUUGAGGUAUGCUUUGACUUUCGAGUUUCGCGGACGAAACUCCUUUUUAGGAGGGGUGAAUGUAGCACACUGGACCUCUGCAAAUCGCGAGGUUCGAGUGUUUGAUCUGUGUGCCGAGCUAUUUCAGACUUUCUGAAGGGUCGUAGACAGUGUUCCGACCCAUGGCUCGCAUCCCGAGAAUUGAGGGUUUAAACCUGUACCAAAAUCCCAAAAGGUUGGAUUGUUGGAGUACUCUCGGAUUAGCCUCAGCCAGGCUGUGUACCGGCACAGCCUUGAUGGUUGUACCGGUACAGAAUUUGUACCGAUACGCCUUGAUGGUUGUACCGGUACACAAUAGGUUUUCUGCCAACCCGAGGCUCGGGUUGGGCAGUUUCGCAGAAGGUGUACCGGUACACUUUCCCGUGUACCGGUACACAAUGCAGAAGCUGGGCUGUUUCGUGGGGGGUGUUUUUGCAAUUGUUGCAACCUCUAUUUAAGCACACCCUAGCCCCCUUGUGAGCUCUUUUGAGCCCUAGAUCAGUGAAGAACAGGUGAGAACUCCUCCCCUUUGGAUUUUUCUCCAUUUUUGAUGGUUUCUUUGUGGGUUUUGAUCUCUUUUCUCCUCUCUUUCUUGCUUUUGUGGGUUUUCCACCAUUGGAGAAGCUUGAGAUCUUGGUUGGAGCUUCUUUGGAGAUCAACCUUCAACCCUAGGGAACUUGGAGCUUGGUUUUGAGCUUUUUGUGAGGUUAGUAAGCCUAAUCUUUUCUUUGGAUUAAGUUUUGGUAGCUUCUACUAGAUCAAACCCUAGAUUUGGCAUAUUAGGGUUAAAAAUGGGGAUUUUUGAUUUGAGGACUAUGGAACCAAAUUGAUUGGUUUAGAACUUUGAUUUAGGUUGGAUUUGAAGGAAUCUAACUCCCUUUUGGGGAUCGAGAGAGAUUCUUUAGCUUUCGGUGAGUUUUCUCCAACCUAGCUAUAGAAGCUUAAUGAUUGAACUUAGUGUCGUUCGUUUCGGUUAGGUGACACUUGUUUUCUUACCUCUAGGGUACUAGGAGGCUAGAGGACAUCUUCGUUGGAGCAAACGAAGGGUUUCGUUUACUAUCGGCGGGUUUGGCUUCGGGGAAAUGGGGUGAGAUGGCCCCUAUGCUCUUUCUACUUGUUGUAAAAUAUUUUUAAAUUCAUUUCUAUGCUAAAUGGGAUUUAUAUGAAUUUUAGAGCACUUAAAAUGCAUGCCUUGUGUAUCAUGAAAAUUUCACUAUAUAGUAGAGCUAUAUGAGUAGAAUGCAUGCAUAUGGGAAAAGUGUUUAUUUUGCAAGUAGAAAAUACAUCUCUUAUGAGAAUUAUGACUUGGAAUAUGUACCUUGGAACAUAGUUGCCAUGCUUUGACAUAGAGAACAAGAGUGUCAUCAAGGGGCACUUGAGACUAGUAAACUAUGAAACUGCAACAUAGAGACAUAUUGAUAGGCCACUCCAUAUCUGCUAUAUUCCAUGUUAGAGACAUGAUGACAUAGGGAUAGGCCAUUGAGAUACUUGACACAUUCCAUGUUUUAGACAUGAGGACUUGGUACUUGCGACAGAUCGUUUGAUUACUUGCCAUUGUGCUCAUUCGCACAUGCUUGUGAGGGUCGCUCCCUACAAGCCGACACUCCGGAGAUGGCCAUCGCGAUACAUAUUCGCCGUGCGGGAUUGGGCGCCAAAGUGGAUUGCCGUGGGCCAGGCUCAUUCCUAGGGUGGGGAUGUUGACUACCACGGGGCCAUUAGGCUCGGCACCGGCCAGACAGCCUACGGGUGGGUCUCAGGGCCAUAGACAGCCUUCGGGUGGGUCUCUUCAGAUUUGACUUUAUAUACCCAUUAUGACAUGUGGACAGAUGAGGACUUAGUGUACUACUUGGACAUUGACUAGAAUAGUAAACAAAGGAACUUUACUAUUUCACAAUGUGAACAUCAUUCUAGUUGGAGACUUUUACUUCAUGCAUAGUUAUUUUCAUACUCAUGCUAUUUAUGCUAAGUAAGAUAUCAUGUUGUAGUAAGUUACAUUUUUACUUACCUUUCGCCUUUCUACUUUUAUAGUCACUGACAUCUUUUGUAGCUUUGGGCCUUGUGGUGCAUUCACUGAAGCCAGUAAUUGCCCACUGGGAACUAUUUUUAAUAGUUCUCACGCCCCCGUUUUAUGGUUUACUUUUCAGAGCCUUCGGCACCGGCGGAGGCACGGGAUCGCGGCAAGGGGAUCGCUUAGCUAGCUAGCGAGGAGCGGUAUUUUGCCUAGGUGGUUACUCUUUCUUUUGUAUUUUGAGAGAGUGCGAGAUUUUUGUAUCCAUGUAUAGAGACCACCUAUGUACCUACCUAUAGCACUUGCAUUUGGGAUUUCCUAUUGUACUUACUUUAUGUUUUAUUUAGUGGAUUUACAGUUUUCCUUAUCCUUUGUUGUAGCAUUUAGACAUUUAUUAUGCUCUGAUACUCCUAGAUGUCUUUUAAUAUUGCUUUUAUUAUUGUUGUUUUUAGACGCCUUAUAUGUUGUAGACAUAUGGCGGGUCUGGGCACGCGCCGGGCGGGCUUCCGCUGGGUCCCGGGGCGUGACAGGCUGCUUAUAGCCUCUAAAGUAACAAAAUCCACAUAGGCCCCUCAAAAACUCAAAUUUACAUCAGCCCGGACUGGGCAGUUUUCGCCUAGAGGGACCGGUCUCCCCGACCUGGGACCGGUCUCUCAGCCUGCCCCCGAAAAUCCAACGUUCGGGAACCGGUCUCUCCCUGCGCGGGACCGGUCUCUCCCCGCGCAGACGCGCUCGGGGACCGGUCUCAAC